GGUUAAGCGACUAAGCGUACACGGUGGAUGCCCUGGCAGUCAGAGGCGAUGAAGGACGUGCUAAUCUGCGAAAAGCGUCGGUAAGGUGAUAUGAACCGUUAUAACCGGCGAUGUCCGAAUGGGGAAACCCAGUGCAAUUCGUUGCACUAUCGUUAACUGAAUACAUAGGUUAACGAGGCGAACCGGGGGAACUGAAACAUCUAAGUACCCCGAGGAAAAGAAAUCAACCGAGAUUCCCCCAGUAGCGGCGAGCGAACGGGGAGCAGCCCAGAGUCUGAAUCAGCUUGUGUGUUAGUGGAACGGUCUGGAAAGUCCGACGGUACAGGGUGAUAGUCCCGUACACCAAAAUGCACAGGCUGUGAACUCGAAGAGUAGGGCGGGACACGUGGUAUCCUGUCUGAAUAUGGGGGGACCAUCCUCCAAGGCUAAAUACUCCUGACUGACCGAUAGUGAACCAGUACCGUGAGGGAAAGGCGAAAAGAACCCCGGCGAGGGGAGUGAAAAAGAACCUGAAACCGUGUACGUACAAGCAGUGGGAGCACCUUCGGGUGUGACUGCGUACCUUUUGUAUAAUGGGUCAGCGACUUAUAUUCUGUAGCAAGGUUAACCGUAUAGGGGAGCCGCAGGGAAACCGAGUCUUAACUGGGCGUUAAGUUGCAGGG
rnacentral:rRNA from 1 species